GUCAACUUUUUCAACACCUCGGUAUUUUCCGCCUAGUAAGCGAAAGUAUAGUUAUUUUUUUUAAAUGACGAUUAAAAUACCAGAAAGGCUUAAUUGAAGUAUAUUUUCAUUAAAUAUAGAGUAAACGCUAAUAUUUUUCUAUAAAUUGUCCAAUUUUGACAAUCCGGAAACAGAAGUUAUGGUAAACAAAUAUGGACGACUCGGUCGGCUGCCAAGACAGACGAAGGCUUUUUACCAAAUAAUGUACGCCGAUUUAAGUCUCUUCGUCUUAUCGUCAUGCGUAAAUAAGGUGUGCAGUUUGCAUGCACCUGGUUGUCAAAAAUGUUGUACCGACAUAGGAAGAUUAGUUGAUAGAAGGAAUGAAAACACAUCACGCACUUGUCUUUUUCAUCUGGCGAUCUGCUCUGGGAGACUAUUUGAAUGGAUCGUUUACUUUUAUGUUUUUAAGUUCUGUAUUUAUAUGUUAAGUGUAUAUCUGGAUGGAAUUGAACCCACUUCCUUAUGGUCCCUAACAAGGAGAACGUAGUAAACCAAAGGCCAAGCUGAUGCCAAGCUUCAGUGUAGAACUUUGAGCAGGUGCCAGAGAAACCUUCCUUGUUAAAGAUGUGACAUUAAUCCCCCCAAACCUACAAAACACAAUUGAUUAGAGAUGCUAGUUAACCUUGUUAAUGA